GGUUAAGUGACUAAGCGUACACGGUGGAUGCCUUGGCAGUCAGAGGCGAUGAAAGACGUAGUAACUUGCGAUAAGCCCAGAUUAGGUAGUAACAACCAUUUGAGUCUGGGAUUUCUGAAUGGGGAAACCCACGUGCAUAAGCACGUAUCCUUACCUGAAUACAUAGGGUAAGGAGGCGAACCGGGGGAACUGAAACAUCUAAGUACCCCGAGGAAAAGAAAUCAACCGAGAUUCCGAAAGUAGCGGCGAGCGAAAUUGGACUAGCCCUUAAGCUUUACACGCGUUAGACGAACGGUCUGGAAAGUCCGACGAUACAGGGUGAUAGUCCCGUAGUUGACGACGUGUGUUCAGUGAAAUCGAGUAGGGCGGGACACGUGAUAUCCUGUCUGAAUAUGGGGGGACCAUCCUCCAAGGCUAAAUACUACUGACUGACCGAUAGUGAACCAGUACCGUGAGGGAAAGGCGAAAAGAACCCCUGUGAGGGGAGUGAAAUAGAACCUGAAACCGUGUACGUACAAGCAGUAGGAGCAGGCUUUGUCCUGUGACUGCGUACCUUUUGUAUAAUGGGUCAGCGACUUAUAUUCAGUGGCAAGGUUAACCAUCUAGGGGAGCCGUAGGGAAACCGAGUCUUAACUGGGCGUUCAGUCUCUGGAUAUAGACCCGAAACCAGGUGAUCUAGCCAUGGGCAGGUUGAAGGUUGAGUAACAUCAACUGGAGGACCGAACCGACUAAUGUUGAAAAAUUAGCGGAUGACUUGUGGCUAGGGGUGAAAGGCCAAUCAAACCUGGAGAUAGCUGGUUCUCCCCGAAAGCUAUUUAGGUAGCGCCUCGGACGAAUACUACUGGGGGUAGAGCACUGUUAAGGCUAGGGGGUCAUCCCGACUUACCAACCCUUUGCAAACUCCGAAUACCAGUAAGUACUAUCCGGGAGACACACGGCGGGUGCUAACGUCCGUCGUGGAGAGGGAAACAACCCAGACCGCCAGCUAAGGUCCCAAAUUACUACUAAGUGGGAAACGAUGUGGGAAGGCUCAGACAGCCAGGAUGUUGGCUUAGAAGCAGCCAUCAUUUAAAGAAAGCGUAAUAGCUCACUGGUCGAGUCGGCCUGCGCGGAAGAUGUAACGGGGCUAAGUAGUAAACCGAAGCUGCGGCAAUGUGCUUUUGCACAUUGGGUAGGGGAGCGUUCUGUAAGCGGUUGAAGGUGUGUGGUAACGCAUGCUGGACGUAUCAGAAGUGCGAAUGCUGACAUGAGUAACGAUAAAGGGGGUGAAAAACCUCCUCGCCGGAAGACCAAGGGUUCCUGUCCAACGUUAAUCGGGGCAGGGUAAGUCGACCCCUAAGGCGAGGCCGAAAGGCGUAGUCGAUGGGAAACGGGUUAAUAUUCCCGUACUUCUUACAAUUGCGAUGGGGGGACGGAGAAGGCUAGGUGGGCCUGGCGACGGUUGUCCAGGUUCAAGUGCGUAGGCUUAAGAGUUAGGUAAAUCCGGCUCUUUUUAAGGCUGAGACACGACGUCGAGCAUCUACGGAUGUGAAGUCAUUGAUGCCAUGCUUCCAGGAAAAGCCUCUAAGCUUCAGAUUGUAAGGAAUCGUACCCCAAACCGACACAGGUGGUCGGGUAGAGAAUACCAAGGCGCUUGAGAGAACUCGGGUGAAGGAACUAGGCAAAAUGGUACCGUAACUUCGGGAGAAGGUACGCUCUCGACGGUGAAGUCCCUCGCGGAUGGAGCUAUUGAGAGUCGCAGAUACCAGGUGGCUGCAACUGUUUAUUAAAAACACAGCACUGUGCAAAAUCGUAAGAUGACGUAUACGGUGUGACGCCUGCCCGGUGCCGGAAGGUUAAUUGAUGGGGUUAGACUUCGGUCGAAGCUCUUGAUCGAAGCCCCGGUAAACGGCGGCCGUAACUAUAACGGUCCUAAGGUAGCGAAAUUCCUUGUCGGGUAAGUUCCGACCUGCACGAAUGGCGUAAUGAUGGCCACGCUGUCUCCACCCGAGACUCAGUGAAAUUGAAAUCGCUGUGAAGAUGCAGUGUACCCGCGGCUAGACGGAAAGACCCCGUGAACCUUUACUACAGCUUGGCACUGAACAUUGACCCUACAUGUGUAGGAUAGGUGGGAGGCUUUGAAGCACGUACGCCAGUAUGUGUGGAGCCGUCCUUGAAAUACCACCCUUGUAGUGUUGAUGUUCUAACGUCGACCCCUUAUCGGGGUUGCGGACAGUGCCUGGUGGGUAGUUUGACUGGGGCGGUCUCCUCCCAAAGAGUAACGGAGGAGCACGAAGGUGGGCUAAUCACGGUUGGACAUCGUGAGGUUAGUGCAAUGGCAUAAGCCCGCUUGACUGCGAGAAUGACAAUUCGAGCAGGUGCGAAAGCAGGUCAUAGUGAUCCGGUGGUUCUGAAUGGAAGGGCCAUCGCUCAACGGAUAAAAGGUACUCCGGGGAUAACACGCUGAUACCGCCCAAGAGUUCAUAUCGACGGCGGUGUUUGGCACCUCGAUGUCGCUCAUCACAUCCUGGGGCUGAAGUCGGUCCCAAGGGUAUGGCUGUUCGCCAUUUAAAGUGGUACGCGAGCUGGGUUUAGAACGUCGUGAGACAGUUCGGUCCCUAUCUGCCGUGGGCGUUGGAAGAUUGAAGGGGGCUGCUCCUAGUACGAGAGGACCGGAGUGGACGAACCUCUGGUGUUCGGGUUGUGUCGCCAGACGCAUUGCCCGGUAGCUAAGUUCGGAAUCGAUAACCGCUGAAAGCAUCUAAGCGGGAAGCGAGCCCUGAGAUGAGUCUUCCCUGAUACUUUAAGUAUCCUAAAGGGUUGUCGGAGACUACGACGUUGAUAGGUCAGGUGUGUAAGUGCUGUGAGGCAUUGAGCUAACUGAUACUAAUUGCCCGUGAGGCUUAACCAU
rnacentral:rRNA from 1 species